UACAGAGGUCUCAAGCGUUGUUCGGAAUUACUGGGCGUAAAGCGCGUGUAGGCUGCUUCGCAAGUCGGAUGUGAAAGCCCUGGGCUCAACCCAGGAAGUGCAUUCGAAACUGCAGAGCUGGAGUCCUGGAGAGGAAGGCGGAAUUCUCGGUGUAGAGGUGAAAUUCGUAGAUAUCGAGAGGAACACCGGUGGCGAAGGCGGCCUUCUGGACAGUGACUGACGCUGAGACGCGAAAGCGUGGGGAGCAAACAGG
rnacentral:rRNA from 1 species